rnacentral:rRNA from 1 species
GACGAACGCUGGCGGCGUGCUUAACACAUGCAAGUCGAACGGAAAGGCCCCUUUGGGGGUACUCGAGUGGCGAACGGGUGAGUAACACGUGAGUAACCUGCCCUUGACUUCGGGAUAACUUCAGGAAACUGGGGCUAAUACCGGAUAGGAAUCCUUGCUGCAUGGUGGGGGUUGGAAAGCUUCGGCGGUUUUGGAUGGACUCGCGGCUUAUCAGCUUGUUGGUGGGGUAGUGGCUUACCAAGGCUUUGACGGGUAGCCGGCCUGAGAGGGCGACCGGCCACAUUGGGACUGAGAUACGGCCCAGACUCCUACGGGAGGCAGCGGUGGGGAAUAUUGCACAAUGGGCGGAAGCCUGAUGCAGCAACGCCGCGUGCGGGAGGACGGCCUUCGGGUUGUAAACCGCUUUCAGCAGGGGCGAAGCUUGUGGUGACGGUACCUGCAGAAGAAGCACCGGCUAACUACGUG